rnacentral:lncRNA from 1 species
CUCAAUUCUGAGCUCUCCUAUAGGGGGAGUCAGGCUUGUAUUUAUAGCCCCCUAUGAAGCACCACAACUCUUGGAUCAAAGUGACUUAAACGUGUACUUAGGAUUAAUCCUCAAAGUUGGUGGAGGCAGGAUCCGCGAGGUAGAACCUGAUUGAUUCUUGCCCCCGGGCGGCCGUCCAAGGCGGCCGCCCCUGCCCUAUGGCAGGUGGGCCUCAGCUUUAGGGCACAUCUUCCCAAGUCUUCUAGAGUCUUCUGGAGUUGACGUUCGGGUCUUCUCUCUAUAUAAAUCUGAUAUGUGGACCCUCUUUUGUUGUUAUCCUGAUAACCCCCUGCAGAAACAAACAUUCACCAAAACUUGUGGAAAUUGUUAGUAAAAACCCUAAGUCUAUGGUCAUGCUCAGUUUUUAUCCCCUUUUCUUCUCCUUGGUUGACAUAUAAUUUUGAUGGAUAAUAACCAUCAACAAACUCCCCCAAGCUUACCUUUUGCUCGUCGCUGAGUAAACAGGUACAAAGGAUGGAUGAGGAGUUGCUACAAUGCUUUCACACUUCAUAAGUACACAUGCUUUAAAUAAGAACCCAUCUCUAGACUAGAGUGAACUAUCAUAACUUCCGAACUUACUCAUGUUUCUUCCAACCAUGAGACUUUUACCUAUACUUGGGUCUUGAGCAGUUGAAAGACAAAACAAUUAAGUCAAGCACUGUUGUCUCAUUUGUUCUACCUCUAUCUUGAGUUUUUAAAAUUUUCAAAAUAAAACUCAGAGUUCUUUAGUAUGAUCCUUUCAAGUCUCUCAUUAUGUGGUAUUUUUGGAUCCUCUCUAAGGCAUUGAAAGGAGUUAUGCCUUCUCUCUUACUCUCAAGAUAUGUAGUAAUUAUGGCACAAGGCAUUUAUAGUGAUGCCUUCUCUCUUGCUCUCAAGAUAUGUAGUAUUUAUGGCACAAGCCAUUUAUAUAGCCUUCACUCUCUCUCAUCCUAUAUCUAAUAAAGCUUAUAGGUGUGGAGAUAGCUAAUGCAUUGGGUCUGAUCGAACCAUGGAUCCAGAAGAACUGACCACAUAACCAACCGGUUUGUGCAUGUGUGGUUUUAUAUGUGGAUGCUAAACUAAAGAAUAUUUGUGGAAGGAGAAGGGGUGCAAAAUAGUUCUAAUGCUCCUUUACUUCGAAUGAUUCCUCUAACUUUGAACUUGAAAUUUUGAUAAUAAACUUGGGCUCAUAAAUCUUUCUUUUUCUUCUUUCUUUCAUGGAGCUUUUGUCCAAUAAUUUUCUUGCAGCCUAAGAAUUCUAUUUGUAACAAUAAUUUUGUAGAGGAAUAAAAGAUAAAACAUGGAGCAUUGGACUUAAGAUAAUUGGCUAGCAAAUAAGUAAGGGAAAUAUUUUUGGUGUUCACUCUCAGUGUAAGAGUGGAACAAUUUUGGAUAGGUGAAUAUGGACUAUUUAUGUGGUGUGUACUUCUAGAGUAGAAGAAGUAAAGGGGUGAACAUGAGUGUACGUGAUACCGGGAUUAGUCACAUGAUGAGUUCCUAACGGUCAACAUAGCUCGAGCAAACACAAAGCCUUACAUAUAUGUGGAGGCUCAGGCCUAUUCUAAAUAAAUAUGGCUGUUGUAGUAAUUUUAUACUCUCUACCAUACAUAGAACUCAUCAUGAAGCAUUUUAAUUUUCAUAAAAUAAAUCUCUAGAAUUUUAGUAGCACUAGGAACAUGAUAAACAACAGCUCAGACUAUAUCAUAUCAUAUCCAUCAACUACCUAGACUUAGUUUAAGCAUAUGCUCCCACAGGUUUAAAGAGUAGAGUAAUUUAGUUGCCUAACAGUGUAUCCAAUCCUAGGUACUUGAAAAGAAUUACGGUAGAGCAACUAUUCAUCAUUUCCAUCAUGCAUUCUUCAUCUCUACAUAUUUUAUUUAUAGCAAACUUAACAUAAAAAUAAAACAAACUUAUAUUACACACUCUUUGUAUUUGGUUUUCAUUUUUAAGCAAACUUAAAAAAGUUAAACAAAAAAUAUUUAUUUGUUUUUCUAAAUUUAUAACAAUAAAGAGAAAGGAAAUAAAUUGAAAGAAGGGAAAAGAUAACUUACCUUGAUAAUGGGGGUCCUCCCCAAGCUAGUCUUCUUUCAGGAUCUAUAGGAACGAGAAGAUGUCACUUAGAGUGUUUUUGUCUUAGUCUUGCCCUUCUUGAAUAGAGGCCAACAUCUAAGUGGUGUUUUGGUUCCACUGACGCUGGUCAUUCCAAUUCUGCUUGUUGUGAGCAAGAGAGGUGUGGACGUAGUUUUGGAAUGUCAUUUGUUCAUUGUAAUGCUGCUGGGUAUAGAAGAACCCAGAAGCAUCAGACCUGCGUCCUUGCUCAAAGCCUUGUUCCUCAUCUUCUGUCCUUUCUCCAUAGGUACUAAAUGAAUGUCUUGGUGCUUCACCUGAGGGACCUUCCCCUGUGGGGAUGAAUGGUGGUGGUUGGUAGUACCCAUAUGGAUGGUAGGCAGGAUGGAACAGGGGAUACAUCCCAGGGUUCAGUGCAUGGCGCUGGCGUGCCUCCCAUUCAUCAUAGCUGGUGUGUGCUGAUGCUUCGUGGGUGGGGUCAGCACCGAGCCAGACUGGCUCGUGUUGAUGAGCAAACCUCUCAGAGGCUAUCCUCUGAGGUGCCCUCUUAGAAGUCUCUUCCUGAGCUUCUCUCCUGUUCAUCGGUCGUGCAUGAAACUCAAUGUGCAGAGUUUGGACAGAAUACAAUGCCAUCUCCGGGUUAGGUAACCAGAGCUUGGUGUCCCCAUGUCAUGUAUAGAUGCCCUUUUAUUUUCUUUACAAGGUGCGCAUGAUUAAAAUGCUCAUAUCCAUAAAUUUGUCUAUGUGUAUCAAUAAAAUCGAAAAAGGCACCUUCAAUUAAUUUGAGCUUAAAAGCUAAGCGAGUAACAAUGCAACAAAUUGCCACAUCUCCUACUUUAUAAUCAGGAAUGCUUAACCAGUGAUCUACUAAAGCAUGGACAGGUGACACUCUUAUUUUCUUAACUGCUGCAUAAAUUAAUUGUAAAUCUAUGACCCUAGUUUUACUAGCAUCAUCUCGAGGGAAGAAAGCUAUACCUAACCACUUAUGCAAGAACCUAAGUGUAGGGUGCUCUAUGUCCCGAGUAUGAUUGCCAUGGAAGAAAGGCUCUUUAGAAAUUUCAAUCCAAAAUUUAUGGGUGUCAAAAUCUUUUAAGGCUGCUAUUAAAUCUAAUCGUGCAUUUGAAGGAAAGCCUAAAAGAUCGCUAAGAACUCUCCAAGUUAGACAGAAUUCUUGGGUAAACAAUCUAAAAUGAACUCCUGUCUGGGUGAGUUGAAGGGUGCAAAGUAAUUCUAUGGUUAAAAGCUUGGACCCUAACUUAGUAAUAGAUGCGAAAGAACUCCAACCAACAAAUUGGAAAAUAGUAUCGAAUUCAGUUGCAAACCUAUUUCACCGAGGAACACAUUAUCCAAGACCGGUGUGUGGACAAAGCUCCUGCUGUUCAAUUUGUUGUAGAUAUUCUUUUCUCUCGCAUCCCUCAAGGCAAGGUGAGUUGCUGUGAGGAGAACCUUUGUGAUGUAGCAGAGGAAGAUGGUGGCUGAGGGUCAGUGGGAGGAUCAGUGCUCAUGUCGGAGCUGGCCCUCGACGAGGCAUACCGGGAUGAGCUCCUUGUGGUCGUUCCUGUGACCUUGUUGGCGAUUCCCUUUGCCCAACUCUUCAUCCUAUAACAAAUGCUUACAGACAAAAACAACAAUAGUGCAAAGGGUUAGUCAAAGGUUAGCGGUCAGCCGUCUAGAGGUCAGCCGUUCUUUCAAGAUUGAGUCUAGUUGCUAGUUUGAAUUUCGAAAGAACCUCCCCUUGAUUUUAGAUUUCUUAAUUCCUUGUUGGACAACACUUCCACUAAUGGAAUUCUUUACAACACUACCCCUCUUUCACUAGACCUUGAGUUCUCGCUCACUCCCCUUAAUUCCCACCCUCUUUUCUACUCUUUCUAUGCUCUCCUUCUCUCCCAAACUCUCUCUGGACUGCUGGAGGCCGAGACCUAAGUGUUUGUCUACUGAAAUAGCUUGUGUGUGGUC